rnacentral:misc_RNA from 1 species
CAGAAACAUCAGCAUCAGCAAGCCUCCUCUCCAACACCCAACGUCUCUCCUUCCUAUCUUGCAAUGACUUCAUUUGAGAUUUGUAAUGGUUUUCGAUAUAUUGCUUAGCAACCUCAACUUUCUGCUUCGUUGCACUUGAGGGUACAUCUUGAACCUCAUUGUCACUUACAGUUUCCUUCUUUACUCUAUUUUGGAACUUCUGAAACCAACUCCUUGCUGAAUCCAUAAUAACUCUUUCAAUCACGAUCGGGCAUUAUUCUUUUCCACCUGGGUGAAGAAGACGAACAAAAGAGCAGUGUUCACGAUCGGAAGCUGAAGCCGGGUGUCUGUUCGGGAAGUAGUUUUCGUCGGUGUAUUGGUUGGCAGUAGUUGAUCUUCUUGCUCCAGCGUAAAUUAGGGGAAAAGGAGAAAGUAAUGGAAUGGAUAAAGAAAUUGAAUAAGGGAGAAAUGGGGUGGAGGAUUA